rnacentral:pre_miRNA from 1 species
GUGUGUGGAUGGUGUUCAGCACCAAGGACAGGUAAUUUUGUCUAUGUGGAUGGCAUUUAGCAACAGGGACAGGUGUGUUUACCU